rnacentral:rRNA from 1 species
AGGAUGAACGCUGGCGGAGUGCCUAACACAUGCAAGUCGAGCGGCAGCGCGAAGAAUUUAUUCUUUGGCGGCGAGCGGCGGACGGCUGAGUAACGCGUGGGAACAUGCCCCAAAGUGAGGGAUAAGCAUCGGAAACGGUGUCUAAUACCGCAUAUGAUCUUCGGAUUAAAGGAUUUAUCCGCUUUGGGAAUGGCCUGCGUACGAUUAGAUAGUUGGUGAGGUAAAGGCUCACCAAGUCUACGAUCGUUAACUGGUUUGAGAGGAUGAUCAGUCAGACUGGAACUGAGACACGGUCCAGACUCCUACGGGAGGCAGCAGUGAGGAUCUCACAAUGGACGAAAGUCUAGAUGGAGCAACCUCCGCGUGCAGGGAUGGAACGGUCCGUUACGGGUCGUAAACGUUGUCUUUUAUGAGUAGAAGUAAUAGUGUAACGGUAACU